rnacentral:lncRNA from 1 species
UUUUUUUUUUUGUUUUGAAAAAACGUUGUAAAUGGAUUAAAAAAAGCGCUGUAAAAUGCAGUUUUUCGCGUAGUGAAUAAAACAUAAGACAUAACAAGUAAAUUCUUCCAGCCAAGACCAAGAAGAUCUUGGAAUUUUACAAAUAUCACUAGUUGGAUAUUUACAGAUUUACUUGUCUAUUUAAAUACUUUAAACAGUUAUGAAAUAUUGUUGUGCAUCAAAGAGCAUGCGUUAAUUCUACCAUCAAAGCUUGUAUGAAAUCCUCCACCCAAAUGAUUUCAUAUUCUUAUCUAUCAUCUUCAUGGAAUAAAUGGUAGUAUUUUACUCUUCAAUGCAAGUAGGUUGAGACAUUAUUUUAGUGAACGAUAUGAAAUGUUAAGUGUUCUAUAUGACAAGUAUGAAGAGAGUUUUGUUGCUUAAGUUUAUUUUAUAUUUUUGUUUUGUUGAUUUUUAUUGUAUCAAAUAAUGUUUUUGUUUUAUAAAUUUGUAAAUAAAUUAAAUAUCAAACAAUAUUUUAUUUCAUAUAAUUAAGAUGUGAAUAGAGCACCAAUUUAAAUGUAACUAUUUUUUUUUAUGUGUCUAUUUAUUUGUAAAAGUUUGAUAUUGUAAGUUAAGAACAACUUUUAAAUUUUGUAUGAAUCAGUUGUAAAAUGUUAAUUAAUAAUACCAUUAUAAAUAAUAAUUUUUUUUCUCUAAAUUUUUAAUAAGUUAAAUAGCUUUUAAAUCCUUUAAAUUUAAAAUUUGAUUUUUAAUCCUUAUAAAAAAUUUGUAAUAUUUUAAUAUAUAAUUUUUUUUUAUUCACUUUGAAUCUUUAUUUUCAAAAACUUAUACUUUUAAUUCCUCAAAAAUAUAAAAUUAAAAUGCAAAAUAAAAAUAACUAAGUUUUUAUAAAAAUUAAACGUGAAAUUUCAUAGUUUUAUAUGAAUUAAAAAAAUAUUGAAUAUAUUUUAUACAAAGAUCAUCUCUAUUCUUAUAAAGUUGUUUUAUAAGACUAAACACUUAAGAUGGAGAAUUUGAACAUGUUAUCUCUCCAAUCUCCAAACCUCGAAAACAUAUUAUCAUUUCAUUUCUUAAUUAAAUCUAAACAUAUUUUGUUACAAAAUAUGAUAUUGUAAUAAACAAAAGAAAAUGAAGAUAUUGUGGUUGUCUAUGUAGAUCAAAUGUGUAUGUUUAUCCAAUUCCCUUUUUUUAGUUUUAUAAUAUAUUAGUUUAAUUAUAAUUUUGAUCUCCCUGUUUCAGUUGAAUUGUAAAAGUAGUAUUUCAUUUUAUUUCUCCAUAAUUUUGGUCUCUUAAACAGAAUUUUGAUCCAAAACUUGAUGAAGUUUUAUUUUUUCAAGUCACACCACACUAUUUAUAAUAAUAAAUUUCAGGUACAAUUGUUGCACCACGAGAUCUUAAGACAUGAUGUGACUUAAAUAAACGCAAAAAAAUGAUACUUUAUCAAGUUUUGGACUAAAAUUCUAUUUAGAGAUCAAAACUGAAGAAAAAUAAAAUAAAAUGACUACUUUUACAGUUCAGUUAAAAUAGAGGGGUAAAACUACAAUUAAACUUAAAAUAUUUAAAAAUCGAAAAAGAAAAAUAAAGAAUGAUUACUCCAUUAUUUAGUUUCGGCCCCUUCCUCAUAUUUUGGAAUAAGCAGGAACGGAGUUUGUUUGUUGGCCAACAAAACUAGUAAUGAACGAUUGGACUCAUGAUACUAUUACUAUCAUAGGAUUCAAUUUCAGUUUGUCCUUCUCCAUUAACUUCUGUCAUCACUCUGUUUUUAUUUAUUUUUUAUCGUUCAAGAUAUCUGUCUGUUGAUUGAAGGUUUUUACGCAGCAGCAGAUUCGACUCGUGAUUCAGAAAUUUCUUUAAAUAAAUAAUAUGGUGAUACCCUAUAUUAUAAUUUAUAACCUAUAUAUGAUAACUUACAAAUAUUAUUAAAAUAUAUUACACAUUAAUAUUGAUAGAUUUGUUAUAUAUCAUAUUUUUUUUAUGUAAAGAUAUUUAUAUAUAUCAUUCAUUGAAUUUAUAUUUUUCUUUUCUUUCACUUCCUAUUCAUUUUCUUUUAUAUCAAAUAAUAAAAUAAUCAUCUCACUAACUACCUACUUUUAUUCCUUGGCAUUAUACUCUAUUUUAUUUAUUAUUAUUAAGAUGGCUAGGAUGGCCCCACAUAUAUUUCAUAUGUUCUUCGUAGAUAAUGAUAGUAUAAUUUGCCCAACCUUCUUUAUUUAACUAUCGUGUCCAUUUAUUAUAGGCUUACAAUAAUCUUCUUUCUUCUUUCAGUGAAGAAAUUAAAGAGAACAUAACAAGAUGGAGACGAGUAGGUUGGGAGGGUUAAACAAAGUUUUGUUACAAGGUUUUUAGUCAACACCUCAACGAGGUAUAUGUUAGAUGGUUGUUACACAUGUGGAGUACAUUUACACCCUAAUAAUGAUAUAUUAAGCCAAUAUUUGAUUUAUUUUUGAAGCAUGCAAAGUUAAUUCUAGAUAUCUUGAUUUUUAUAUAUGUUGUCAAGUAGAAUAUAUUUUAAAAUAAAUUUGAUUAUUUGACUUUAAGUUAUAAUUUUAUAGUUUUUAUCUCUAUAAUUGAUUUUUUAUUUGAAUUUAACAUUUAAUUUAGUUUUAUAUAAAUAUAUUUAAAUAUAAAUUAGUUUACUUUGGAUUUAUAUUUAUCAAAAUCAUUCAAUUGUUGUCACCAUAGAAUAGAAUCGAAUACACCCUAAAUACUAAAUAAAUGAUAAUUAAUAGGUAUUAGAAGAGUAAAACCAACUGAAUUCAAAUUUUAAAAUAUAAUAAAAUAUUUUGAUGUGGUUUCAUGAGUGUCAACUUGUUUUGGUGGUUGUUGUUGUUAUUUUUAAUUCUUUUAUUGGAAAUACUUUUUAAUAAAAAAUAUACAAUAAAAAAAACUAGCUUUUUGGAUAUUCAUGAACAAGAAACGUUGCAUGUGUUGUUGUUAUGCACAAUAAUUUUGUCAUAGUCCUUAAAGCAAGACAGCUAGCUUCAAGCAAAGUUUUCUAUGCCAAAAAGAAGCAUGAUUAGGUUGAAAAGGAUUCCAUGUAAUGUAGCUAAUUAACUAAUCUUAAAUAUGUUUUAAAAAAUAAAUCAUAAAUGGACUAUAUAUGUCAAUUUUAUAAAAAGAAUGUAUAUAUAUAUAUCUAAAUAUUUAUUUCUUUUUUACGGUAAAGAAAUAGAAAGCUUUUGAUAUAGUCCUUUUUAUGUAAAAAUAUAUUUCAAUUUCAAUGAUCAUGUUCUUUCGUAUUUUUCCACAAGGACAAAAGGAAAUAAAUUGUAAUUAACAUUAAUAAUUUUUUUUUUGCUGAAAUUAAUUGCAAUGUGAGUGUUUAACAAUUGAUUCAUAGUAUAAGUAUAAACUAAUAAACUAAAUGAUUGACCUCAAAAACGUUAAAGAUUGUUACAAUAUUUAUGUAAUGUUCCUUAGUAUUUUCAUUUUGUUUUAUGUUUUGAGCUGACAAAGGUGCAGUGGUAAGUUGUUACAAUAUUCUCCUUAUUGUAACUUGUAAGUAUUCAUGCCUAUACCAAAGUUCCAAUGAAUGAAUCAUUCACUAUUUUUAAGAAAUACAAUAUUCUCUCUAAAACUAUCUCUAGAAUUAUCUUCUCUUUGCACCAUACUCUAUUCUGAAAUUGUUAGUCUCUGCACAUGAGAAUUCCCUAUUAUCAAAAUUCAUCUCUAAAAUUUAAAUUCCGAUCUAAAAAUUGAAUUGAUCGAAUGUAUUGAAUUCCAAUUUUAACUAAAAUGAAAUUUGAUUAUAUUUUACUUUUUGCUUGUCGGAAUUCUAAAUUACUCAAUCAACUUUUUUAUAAGGAUUAGAGGGUUUGAAAAAAAAAUCAAAUAAUCAAUUUAAUAUUUGCGAAAUGGCUUGAGUUUGAAUUAGACUUUACAAAACUGUUAUAAAGUUUUUUUAGGUUUGAGUCUAAAAUUUACGAUAACCUAUUAAUCUUUUUAAAAAUUUAUUUUAUAUUAACAUUUUUAAAUAAGUAAUUAGAUAUGUUUUUCAACAGAUUAACAAACUAAUAUGAUUUAUAUAUAAACAAAUUAAUAGUUCAAUAAAAUUAAAUAGUUUUUUUGAGAUUUAACAUAUAAUUUUAAAGAAUUUGAAUUUAUAAUAUAUUACAUUUAAAAUCUAUUUUAUUAUAACAUAUUUACGAAUAAAAAACUAACUUAGAAUAAUAUGAUUAAAUUCCUAAGAAUUGUCAAAUUUACAAUUUACAUAUAGUUCAUAAUAUUAAUAAUAUUAUCAUAAUAAUAUUAAUAAUAAGAAUAAUAAUUAUUUAUAUUUAUUUAAAUAAGUUAAUUCAAUAAAUUUUAAAGACUUUUUUUACAAUUUAUAAUUUGAUCUUUUCAAUUAAAUACAUUUAAAAUACAUUGACCUUAUCUUAUCUAUUAUAAAAAAAAAUCUAAUACAAGUUUGUCGUAAACUAUGCAUAAAUCCUGUUGGAUAAUCCUAAAACAAGUAGUUGUUCUUUCUGAGUAUCUUUUAAUUUAUUGAAAAAUAGUAGUGUAUGCAUAAGUACACAUUAACUCAAUUAUUGGCUGAAUGUGCGUGAUUUGACUUUCUUUAUAAGCCCAAUUAUACCCAAUAAAUAAAAUCAUCCAAAAUACAUUGCCGGUGGAAUUUCAAAAAGUAAAGCAUUUUAAAUUAUUAUCAUUAUUUCACAAACAAUUAUGUCGAUAAAUUAUCAACAAAUUCCAAAAAAUUUAAUCUGUAAGCUUUGGGGUAAUAUCUCUGUGUUAUGGAUGUCAAAGAAAAAAUAUCUGUCUUAUGCAAAAAAGUCAUUUUCAUUUGGUAAAAAAAGUUAUUUUAAUAAAAUAUUAUAUAUUAUUUUAUAAUAUCAGUAAAAUAUUAAUUAUUUUUUUUUAUUAUAGACUUAACUAUUAUUAUUUUUUCUUUCAAUUCUUACAAUAUACAUGAAUAAAAGCUAAUUUAAGAAAAAUAUAUAAUUAUUUUUUUAUACAAUUUAAUAUUAAAUUUUUAAAUAUAAAAAUCUGAUUUUUUUUGUGAUAAAAAUAUUAAUUUAUUUAUUAUCUUAAAGAAAAUUGCAUUUCUUAAUUGAUAACUCAUUUUUGAGACAUAUCUCAAGAUUUUUUCUUAAAAGAAUAUGAAAUAGUACACGGAUAUUCUUUUUUUUUUUUUUAUGAUAAUAGUACAAUCGAUAUCGAUUCAUUCAAAAUAAAAAUAAUUAGUUUGUUUAUUUGAUAAAAUAUUUUUUUCAAUUCCUAAAAUUAAUUUAUAAAAAUUUUAAUUUUUUCUUUCUAAUUUAAUUAUUUAUUUAAUUUUAAAUAAUAAUUUGAUUAUUUAUAUAUUUAAAUAUCAAUAAUAUUAUAAUUUUUUUACAUAAAUUCUGAAAUAUUAUUAUUGAUAUUUUAAGAUAUAAAAAAUUAUUUUAUAUUAUUAUCUGAAAUUAAAUUAAAAACCACAAAAAACAUUUUGCUUAUUUAUUUAUAGUUUUUUUAUAAUUAAAAUUUAUUACAUAGUUUAUGCCAAAAUGGAAAGAUGAAUAAAAGAAAUUUCAUAAGCCUAGGCUUAGCCCCAUCACCCCUAUCUUCUUCAUUCAACUUUUUGCCUAUUCAUACCAAUCUUCAAUUCAGCUGAGUUUCAUUUCUUCUCAACUGAUUUUGUUCAAAGUUUACAAUUUUUCCUUUGAAAAAAAUUGGGUUUUAACAUUUCAUUUUAUUUGGGUUGAAGAAUUGUUGGUUUCUAUGAAAAGGCAAAAAUUAUUGAUUUUGUGAGGAAAAUGAAAACUUGGGUUUGAUUGAAUCGAGGAAAAGACUCGAACUUUGCAUAUUGCAAAACUUGUGUUUUUAAUUUUCUAUGGCGAAAAUGUGGAUCUUGUAAAGCUAUUGAUUUGAUCGAGAAAAAGAAGGAAAAAUAAAUAAAUAAAAAAAGAUACUUUUUUUAUCAGCUUCAGGUGGAUCAACUUUUUUCCUCAGUCAUAGGAGAAGAAGAAGAAGCUUAAAAAGGUGAAGUAGCUUUUUGGGUAGUUUGAAAAAGUGGUGCUUUAUUCAGUGUUUAUUAAUGUUGGAAGUUAAAUAUUUAGUACCUAAAGAUAUUGAGUUGACUAAAAAAGUUAUGCAAAGUGAUUAUGAGAUACUAAGCUAUCAUAAAGAAGUUUAAUAUUUAGCCUUUAUGAUUUGCCCCACUUUGGUUAAAUGUUGAUUUAUGUUUUUUUUUAGGGGAAAGGGUCUUUAAAUGCUAAGAUUACUAGUUUUUAGGUUGUGGCAUUUAAGAUUAUUUGAAUUGAGGUUAUUGUGAUUGUAAGAAAGAAUAUGAGAUCAUCAUUCACCCCAUAAAGGAAAAAGAGUAUCUUUCAUUUUUCUUAAAUGAAGUAGUUUUGCAUUGUUCAUGUUUGUUCUCUCUUUAAUUCUUGCAGAAGGUUAGUGAUGUUUAUGCCACGUGAAAAUUUAGUGCAGAAUCUAUGAAUGAAUCUAUUUUAGCUAUUUAGAAGCGAUCAAGGACCAAGUCUUUAACUCAUUAAGAGUUGAACAUACCGUGAUACUCAACAUACUAUAGUACCCGGACGUGUACCGCGAUAGGAACUUUUUUUUGCUGGUUUUUCCUUUUAUCUUUACUUUAACAAAGCUUUCUGAUAUGAUUUUCAGGCAUUUGUGGCUGCAAGAUAUUACUGUUAUAUGAGCUUUGGUAUAGUCCCAUUUUCGAGUUUGAUGGUGUUUGAUAUAAAAAGCACAUCAUUAGAAGUGGAAGAGGUUUUUUGUUGAUUUGGAUUUGAUUUAAGUGUUUGAAAAUGGGGAUUCAGUGCUCCAGCCUCGUGCCAUGUUGUGUCGACUCCCACGUUAAGGCAUCUACUCUUGAAGUUCCUAAUGCCGGUAGGUAAAACCGUAAAAGCGAUAUGUUAAUGCUGUUAGUACAUUCUGUUGUGCUGAGUAAACUAUCAUUGGUACUUGAUUUUUGUUUAUUGUGAUUGUUUGUUGCAGAGAAUGAGGACAGAAUUGAGGCCAAUAAUGGUCGUGCAUUUCGUGAAUUUACGUUGGAGCAACUUAAUAAUGCAACAUCUGGUUUUAAUGUUGAGAAUAUAGUAUCUGAACACGGUGAAAAGGCUCCAAAUGUUGUUUAUAAAGGGAAGAUGGAGAAUCAAACGAGGAUUGUUGUUAAGAGGUUUAAUAGAAGUGCUUGGCCUGAUACUCAACAGUUUUUGGUAAAUAUUAUCCUUUCUUUUUCAAUGACUUCUUCAAACAUACGCUUAAACUUUCAAUUCUCGUGUUCACGAAUCAAGACCUUGAACUACACAAAACAAAGUUUCGAGCUUGAAAAGUUGUUGAUGGCAAUGUGUGAUGUGCUUGUGUUUAGUGAUUAAAAGGCGAUAUAAAUUUGCUAUCACAGUUGGAUUCAUAAUAGUUAUUAAAAUGGUUAGGUUUGAUUAUUUUUCUGAAGCUAGUGCACAAAGUUGUGCUAGUAUAGUUUCAUUUGAAUCUGUCCUUUUCACUUUCAAUUAAUCGAAACAAUUUUUCGUAAUUGUAGGAGGAAGCUAGAUCAGUUGGUCAGCUUCGUAACCAAAGAUUGGCAAAUCUGCUUGGUUGUUGUUGUGAAGGCGAUGAGAGGUUGCUUGUGGCCGAAUACAUGCCCAAUGAAACUCUUGCAAAACACCUUUUCCACUGUAAUAGCUCAUUUCAUGCAUAUAUCAUCCUUUUUUAUUUUGGAAGGAAAUAGUAACACAGUAAAAUAUAUUGACUUCUGUGUGUUUGGCAUAGAUUUUGGAGAUUAUUUAUGAAGAGAAAGCUCUUGUAAGAAUGGAUUGUUGGAAAAUUGAUUUGAAGAGAAAAACUUGUUUGGAUAUUUUAAGGAAGGUUCAUAUUUUGAAGUGCUAAAUUAUCAAUAUAUGUAAGAUAAGUAGAAUUAACUAUUACUAAAUUUACAAAACGAAAUAAUUUGAAAACGUGAAAAUUGAUCUUGUAAGGAUGAAGCAAUUCUUAUUUACUUUUAAUUUUGAAAAAGCCAGAACUUAUUCUGCGGCAUCCAAACUCUAAACAAAACAUGUUUUCUUUGAUACAUUGUCAUGAUUGUAUUGUUGAAGUGGUAUAUAUGUCUAUAUCAGGGGAUGCACAACCGAUGAAAUGGGCAAUGCGACUCAGAGUUGUUCUACAUCUCGCAGAAGCUCUAGAAUACUGUACAAGCAACGGACGUGGCCUCUAUCACGACCUUAAUGCAUAUAGAGUUCUAUUUGAUGAAGUAAGCUUUGUACUUUUUUUUAUAAGUUUAACAUUAUUUGAUUAAUAUAAAUGAUAUGUUAAAAUUUACAGGAUGGUAAUCCUAGACUUUCAAGUUUUGGCCUUAUGAAGAAUAGUAGAGAUGGUAAAAGUUAUAGCACAAAUUUGGCAUUUACCCCUCCAGAGUAUCUCAGAACCGGUGUGCCAUAUUUCGUUGCUGUUAUGGUUUUAUUUAAAUUUGUAUGCAAAAAGUUGUGAUUUAUUUAGAAUUUCGAAGUUGUUGCAUCAAGUUAUUGAGUCAUAAGUCUUGUUUGUUCUGUAGGGCGAGUAACACCGGAAAGUGUAAUAUAUAGCUUUGGCACUCUUUUGCUUGACCUUCUUAGUGGGAAGCAUAUCCCCCCAAGUCAUGUAAGUCAAAUGAUAUAAAUAUUUACCAUUGCGAAGUUGAAGAUAGCGUAAAUUUGACGCUAUGUUUCUCAUUUAGAUCCAUAUUUAUAAACUUGCAUAGCUAAUUUCAAAAUUUUUGGAGCAGGCCCUUGAUUUGAUUCGCGACAGAAAUCUUCAGAUGCUAACAGAUUCUUGUUUGGAAGGACAAUUUUCUGAGGAUGAUGGAACUGAGUUGGUGCGCUUGGCAUCUCGAUGUUUACAGUAUGAACCUAGAGAACGGCCUAAUACAAAAUCAUUAGUGGCUGCUUUAGCUCCUCUGCAGAAAGAAACAGAGGUGUGGCUUUCUACUAAUACUACUAUUAUUAUUAUUAUUACUACUAUUAUUAGCAAAACAUCGCUUCCUAACUAUGAAGCACUAACACAUACAUGACCACCAAACACGACACUGACACUUGUAAUAACUUAUGAAAAUGAAAGUUAUUGAAUGUAAUACAUGUUGUUGUGUCGUGUCAGUGUUAGAUAUCGACACAUGUCAAACAUUGGACACAUCUAUAGUCUGAAGUGUCGGUGCUAUGUAGCUUCCUCGUAGUAAAAUUGAAAAAUGCCACUACUUAGGCUCUUCUUUAGUGUCAAGGCAAAGACAAAAUGUGACUACUGAAUUUUCUCAAAAUUGAAACAAAAAUUACAAUUUUCAUACUGAAAAUGCAGCAUGUUUUCUACAUUUCUACUUGGGUAUCUUGGUGCACACAUGAAUGACAUUCAUGACAACAGAACACAAACUAAUCAAGCUUUGAAGUUCCACUCCUUAUUAUUUUGUCUUACCAAAAUUCAUUCCUACAAAUUUCUUUCUAGGUUCCUUCUCACUCAUUGAUGGGUAUCCAAAAUAGUGCCACUACUGUUGCUUCCUUGUCGCCACUUGGUGACGCAUGUUCAAGAAAGGACUUGACUGCUAUACAUGAAGUUCUCGAAAAUAUUGGCUAUAAAGAUGACGAAGGAGUGGCAAACGAGGUUUUAAUCAAUUUCUACAUUCCUUUUAAUAUAUUUCUUCCAAUAUUAGAUUCUUUACUAAUUCUUGUAUUUCUUAAUUGGUUAUUAAUUUAAGGUGCAAUAUAUUUACUCACGCAAACUAUGAAAUGAUAUAUUAUCGUUUAUUAUUUUCGAUGCUAACUCGUGAGUUAUCUUCCCUGACACUGCAGUUAUCUUUCCAAAUGUGGACUGAUCAAAUGCAAGACUCGCUAAAUUGUAAGCAAAAAGGGGAUGCUGCUUUCCGGCAGAAAGACUUAAAACUAGCAAUAGAGUGCUACACGCAGGUAGAUUUCUUUUGGUAUUGGACUUUUGGAAAAUCGGCAGCUAUUUUUGUAUUCUAAAUCAAUAUUUUAAAAACCGAAUGGAACUGAAUUGAUCAAUCGGUUGAACUGUGAAUCAGCACUAUCAAUGGUUCGAUUAUUUGAGUGGUUCAUCUACGAUUUCGUCCUGGUUCAAGCAGUUUAAAGCAGUUGAAUCAUGACUCAGAAGUCUCUCUGGUUUGAUUGCUAGUUUGAUUUUAAUACAUUGUUCUAAACUUUUUGCAUGAUAAAAAAUAGAUCUCUUGUCAAUAUAUUUUAGAAUAACUCUUCUACAGUUGUAGUUUGAUGCGAGCUUUUCACAAUGACAAAUAAUUCUUUUGAUUUCUGACUAGAAUUAUGCAUCAAUAUGCUUAUGCGGUUGGUAUGAUAAUAAAGUAAUUGAUUCUUAUAUUUGAUUGUGUAUCAAGUCAAUGAAGGAAGCAUUUCAGUAGAACUCUUGGAUCCUUCCUAUUUAGAAGUUAUAUUUGACAUUUGGUUUGGUUCUUUUUAGUUAAUCUGUUUAAUGAGAGUUGACUGUUUCACAUGUAGUUCAUUGAUGUUGGAACAAUGGUUUCGCCAACUGUCCAUGCGCGUCGCAGCUUGUGUUAUCUCAUCAACGACAUGCCUCAGGAAGCAAUGAACGAUGCGAUGCAAGCACAAGUAAUUUCCCCUCUAUGGCACAUUGCGUCUUAUCUUCAAUCUGUUUCUUUGGCUGGACUAGGGAUGGAGAGCGAAGCUCAAGUCGCGCUUAUGGAGGGAACAACACUUGAAGCCAAACGAAAUACAGGAAAAAAGUGAAGAGUUUGUACAAAAGGUUUAUUGCUGAUUGUGUUUUCUGCAUCAUGAUGACCCUACUGCAUUGUUUACAAAUUUCAUCUUGUGGAUACACAAUAUAUUCAUCCCCACCAAAAAAAGUUAAUGUUUGAGUGUCAUGCUGUGUUUGAAGAAAACAAUGAUUGGAUGAGUGUUGGUAACAGUAACACCCUCCCCCUUUUUAAUAGGGUAGGCUUGGAUGUUGGUUUGGUUCUACUAUGAUUGGAUUAUGAAUAGAAGCAUGAACCUCAUCCUAGUAUUUAUGUGUUUCCUCAACAGGAAAAAAUGUGAUAAUGAAAAGUUAUGUUGUUCAUUGCCAAUGAUGUGUUGUUGGAAUACAUUACAUGACAUUAUUUGCUGUUUUCUUUCUUAUGUGCUGAUUAUAGAAACAAGAGACCAAAUUGUGUAUUUUCUUUUUUACUAACAUGCAUCUUGUGGCACUGUGAAUGUAAUUGUGGUACACAUUCCAUUAUACGAGCUGAACCAAUAAAUAGUAAAUUUAUAAAAUUGACACUUAUACCCACUACACUCCAUUCUCCCAUAGCAUCACUUUGUGAAUCCUACAAAUUGUAGUUUGUAUUGCCAACUACAAAACUAAUUAAUUAAAAUCAUAUCAAGGAGGAAAUUAAUUAAAAACAAACAUUUUGCCAACAUUUCAAAGGAAAUUAUAAACAUUUUGGCACAACAGUGUUUGAGGCAAACAAACUGCAUGUCCAAAUAGGUUUUAUUCUAAUUAUUCAUUCUUCUAGUGGAAAACAAAGCCUAAAUGAGUUUGUUUAACAUCAUAGUAUUAAAAAUAACUUGUCUCAUUAACUCUUAAUGAACCUUAGCUAUUGUUGAGUUACAUGGUUCAUAGCAAAAGUCAGUGAUAUCAUGUCUCAAAACACCUACAAGACUUGCAAGCUGAGUGACAAGUUGGUUUAACAUCUGUACAUCUACAUUGAGGAGGAAUUGAUUUUGUGCAACUACAAUUAUCACAACAUGGUGUACAUGUUGUUGAUUUGACAUAGUAACCAACAUCCUUAUCCUUACCAUUGGAAACCACUUGACUAAUGUGAGAGUUUGAAUCAAAACGAGCAUCAAUAAUAGUUGUGGCAAAACCCAAGAUUAAAAGUAACAAAACCACUUUCAUCUUCAACUCCAUAUUUUUUUCUCUCUCUCUUUAAGUUUGAUAUCUUUUUCUUUCUUUAAUUAAUGUACAUAUUGUACUAAUGCAUUACUCUAUUUAUAGAUAUAUUAAAUUAGAAUGAGGGCGGUUAACUAGUGAUAAUGUCUAACUUCGUUUCUGACCAAAAAAUCUGUCUUAUGUACUCCCAUUUUUAAUAAUAAUAUGAAUUUAAUAUUUGUAUGCAUUUUUAUUGUAAACAAUUUUUAUAUCGUCAAUGUAUUAUAAUAAUUAAAUAAUUUAAAAUAUUUAACUUAUACAAUAAUUAUUUUUGAAGUUAUACCUACGAAUAUUUGUGAUAUGUUGAUAAUAUAAUUUUUUUUUAUAUUAACAGUGUAUAAUAGUUAAUCUCUAAUAUUAUAUNNNNNNNNNNNNNNNNNNNNNNNNNNNNNNNNNNNNNNNNNNNNNNNNNNNNNNNNNNNNNNNNNNNNNNNNNNNNNNNNNNNNNNNNNNNNNNNNNNNNNNNNNNNNNNNNNNNNNNNNNNNNNNNNNNNNNNNNNNNNNNNUAUAUAUAUAUAUAUAUAUAUAUAUAAAAGGAGUCUAUCAAGUGAGAAUCAAUAGUUAUUAUGAGAAACAAGAACAAUUAAUAUUAAUUAUUAGAUUUAAUUAAUACAUAAGAUUAAAUUACUGAAUAAAGAUUAUGUCAUUGUAUUCGAACCAAACAACUCUUAGAUACUAUAUGUCUCUAAAUUGAUUUUAUUUCUAUUUUCAUAAUAACUCGAAUUAAAAACUCCGUAAUGACGAUAUUAUUUUUAUAUUUUUUUGACUCAAGGAUUUUAUUUUCAUUAAAUCUGCAUUUGUAUUGUUUAUUGUAAUAUUAGUGUAACUUUCAAAUUACAAUUCUUAUUAUUGUAAUAUUUUAUUGACUCGAAUUUCAUAAAUUUUAAAUUUCAAUCAUUGUAACUUAAUUAUUGAAAAUGUUAUUUCGAGUUUAUAUAAUCUAACAAUUUCUUUUUAUUUAAGCAUUAUUAAUUUAGAAUUAACUAUUAUAAACAAUUUUAUUAAUAAAUUCAUUAAUUUGUUUAUUGUAAUAAAAUGGUGGCUGUGGUUAGUUUGAAUUAUGAUAUUCAAAAUUUAAUUUUUAGAAGUUCUAUAUUUAAUUUUGAAAAUUAUCUUUCAAGGGAUUGUUGGAAAUGUAAAAAAUUUUCAGAUUUAUUUUUAUUAAAAAAAAACGACGAUUGAAGAGCAUUUUUUAUUUUGAUAAAUAAUAAAAAUAAUAAAAAUACAGGUUUAAUAAAAUUAAAAUUCUUGAGUUAAAAAAAUAUAAAAAUAAAAAUAAAAAUAAAAUCCUUAAAUAAUUUUAUCUCACAAGGAUGGGAACAAGUUUUAUUUUUUAGAUACAACAUUAAUGAAUUUGUAAUUCAAAUUAUUACAAAAAUAAAAAAAAAAAAUUUAAAAAUAUUAUAAUAUAGUAUCUAAGAGUUGGGUAGAGAUACAUUCACAUCACAUUUUUAGUAAAUAAUUUAAUAUUAGACAUUAACUAAAUCUAAUAAUUAUUAUUAAUAGUUAUCAUUUCUCAUAAUAAUUAUUCCGUUUUCACCGAAUAAGCUUCCAUAUAUAUAUAUAUAUAUAUAUAUAUAUAUAUAUAUAUAUAUAUAUAUAUAUAUAUAUAUAUAUAUAUAAUAUGUGAUCUUCAUACGAAAAAUAAUAAUGGUUGUGUCAAGUUUGCUAUAUGCAGCGUCAACCUGGAUAAUCUUGGUGACAAUAUAUUUCAUGACAUUUUUUAUUAUUCAAUUCAUCAAAUUAGGCUUGACUCAUCAAUUAGUCUCCCGCGUGCACCAUGAAAUAAGGUGACACUUUAAGAGUUUAAUAACGUGACGAUAACCUCUACUAAUAACAUAGUCUCAAUUAAUAUUUCAUUUCAUGUAGGACAGAAAUAUCUAGAGCGUAAUUCAAGUAGUCCAAUAACUGAUGGUGUCAAUUAAAGGGGUUAUCAACCAAACAUUUUCAUUUGUUUAAUUUUGGAAGAAUAAAUAAAUGAACAAUAUUAAGUGUCUUCAAAGGAAUAAUCGAUCGCAAAGCUAGAACAUAUUUUAUGAGGACACCAAGUAUAAAAAAAUUAAAAACUAAUAUAUUAAAUUAAUAUUUACAAAUAUAUUAAAAUUAGUUAACCAAUAAGAUUUAUUUUUAUUUUUAAUAUUUUUUAUAUAUAAAAUGUAAAUUAUAUUCGCAACUAAGAAAAUAAAAACUAAAAAUUAGUUAUUUUAAAAUAUUAUGUUCAACAAUGUUUUAAGGAGUUAAAAUCAUCCAUAAUGUCUUUUUUAAUAAAAUGUUUUUGAAUCCUUUAUAAAUUUCUAAAAAGUAAUUUUUUUAUUAUAUAAUUUUAAUAAUUUCAAUAUUACAAUGAGUUAUGAGUACUAUCUCUUUGGACUAAUAAUAAAUAAACAAACUAAUUAUUCUUGUUAUAUUUAUUAAUUUGGACCAGUAAAUAAGUAUUUUGAGUAGCUAGAUAUAUAUUAAGCUAAAAUGUAGUUUGAUCCCUAACUUUUUAAAUCUUACAAUUUUUGCCUCUAUAUUUUUAAAAUUGUACUUUUAAUUUUCUAAUUUUAACUCUUUUUACAAAUUUGUAGACCAUUUGAUUUUAACUAAACCACAGUUGAUGUAGAAUAUUACUUUAAUUUUAGAUUAUUUAUUUAUUACAAUUACUAUUUCAAAUAAAAAGAAGGGUGGCAGAGCUGGCAGCAAUUGUUGAGGUGUGAAGUUGAUUCGGGAGUUGAGGUCUACAUAGAAUAUUGCUAUCUGGAAACAUGAUAUAUAGGGAACUUUUGACGUCACACCUGAAUCCAUUACUUAUUUGAGUCACAAAUGUUUAUAAUUGUGAAUACGUGCCUCAAAUCAUUUAAUUAAAGUUGGUUAAGCUUUAGGGGUUGUUAUAACUACCUUUGACCAAGUUAGUUAUGAUCGGUGAUUAUAGUUAGUUUGCUUGUGUAUACUAUAAAUGAAGCUAUAAUAUUGUAGCAGCUAUAAGUAAUGUGGUUGUAGCAGUAAGAGCUGGAUACUAAGAGAGGUAUAUGCAAUUCAUGAUUCAUAGAAAUUCAGAGAAGAAAGAUUAAGAGAAAAAAAAAAGAUUGAGUGAAAAAACUAGUAUUGCUGGUUUAUAAAUAUUGAUACAUACUAGGAGAUCAAUCUUAAGAAGGUCGAUCUUGUAAAAUCCAAUCAUUAAUAGUGGAUUAAUCUUGUUUAUUUGUCUGUGACGUAGGUCUCCUCAAUUGAGACCGAACACAUAAAAUUUUGGUAUUAUUCUUCCCUUAUCUUUCUUUAAUUUUCGUUUAAUAUUGAUUGUGAAAACUGGUUUACAAAACUGUAGAAAGGAAAACCAAGAACGUUCUCCGUUUCUGAUUUUUUGAUUUUUCAGUUGUGUCAAGAACGUUCUCCGUUUUCAGCAGAAAAUGCAAAACGUUCUCCAUUUUCGUUUUUCUCUGCAAUUCUUUAUUUUUCUAUUUUGUUGGUUAAUUCUUAUCGCAUAUUUCAAUAUUAUUUUAACGAUAAUAUUUAUUGUAUAAAUAUAAAUUUAAUUACUUAAAAUCAGACACAACCCAAUUGCCAAAUGAAUUACAAAGGCCCGUGCCUCGUACCUAAAAAAUGAAAUUAUUUAAUAAAGAAAAAAGAUCUCCUACAAAAAUAUAUACUACUAAGUAAGUUUAGUCAGGUUUUCUAUUAAUAUUUUUAUGUUGAUUUUCUGUUAAUACUAAUUAUUAUAAUGAAAAUAUUAUCCAACUCGCUCUUUUAAAAGUUAAAAUGUAAUAAUAAUAAUUAUAAUAAUAAUAAUAAUAAUAAUAAUAAAUAAUAAUAAUAAUAAUAAUAAUAAUAAUAAAUAAAUAAUAAAAUAUUAACAAAUUUAGUAUUAGUAUCAAUUUUAUUAAUUCUCAUAAUCUGAUUUUAUAUAUAAGUACAUAUAGUGGUAAUAUCUCUUAUUUAAUAGGGUCACCAAACUUGUAUGGGUCGGUCGACCCUACUAUUAAAACUACUAUUACUUGUCUUAUUCUUAAUUAGGUUCUCUUACAUCGUUUAUUAUGAUAAUCAUUAAUAUCAAGACACUUACACUUGAAACCAUGACACUCACAUGAUACGCAAGUUGAGUGACAUUGUAUGUUAACAUCAAGACAUUUACAUAGAGGAAUAACUGAUCUUGUGCAAGGACCUAUUUUAGCACAACAUGGUAAAUAUGUUGUCGUCGACUUAACAUAGUAAUUACCAGAAUCUAAUUGAAAGCGAGCAUCAAUAAUUGUGGUGAAACCCAAGAAAAAAAUUAACAAAGCUACCUUAAUCUUGAAAUCCAUCUCUCUAAUUUUCUCUCUCUUUAUAUGUAUGAUAUAUAUCCCUUUCUUUUCUUAAUUGUAUGUAGUAUAUGAAGAUUGCAUUUUCCCAUUUAUAGAGAGAUUAAAUUUGAAUGAGGGCGAUUAUGACUAUUGACAAUGGCUUACUUUAUUUCCUUUUAAUUUAUUUUUUAAAAUAUACUUAAUCUUCAAAUUCAUCUCUCUAAUUUUCUUUCUUUAUCAUAUGAAUGUAUAUAUGAUUAUUUUUUUUUUGGAGAAUGAUGAUUGCUGAUAUAUCCUUUUUUUCUAAAUUGUAUGUAUACGAUGAUUGCAUUGGUCUAUUGGCGCACUUCUAAGUCACUUCUCCUUUUCUUUUUGUCCCUACGAUAUUUAAGAGUAUUCAUAAUAUCAUUGUUCCUUCGUUUUAAGAGAGGUCAUAACACCAAUGUCCCUUUGGUUUUAUAGUAGUCAUAAUACCAUUGUCUCUUCCAUUUUAGAGUGGUCAUCAUACCACAUUAUGCCUUCGGUUUUAGAGUAGUCGAAGUGUCAUAGUCCCUUAUGUAUAUGAAUGGUCUUAGUACCGUACUUAGAGUGGCCGUAAUAGCCAUAUUUAAAUGUGUAAUUCUAGAACCGUACAAUGGAAUGAUUUUGACUAUUUUAUCAUGGGGACGUAGUAGUUGAUAGUCAACUUGUAUUAUUUUGGAAAAUAUCGCGAAAACCUCUUAAAGAGAGUGACAUAGUCUGCGAUUUUAACCCAAUAAUAUAUUUAAUGGCUAAAAUAACAAUUUUAAUAAGUUUAUUUCUACCAUGUAUACCGAAAAAAUAAUUAUCUAAUUCAUCUGCUUCUAACUUCAACAAAUGGUUUCGGUUUAAGGGAUGUCACUUCUAUAUAUAUAUAUAUAUAGUUUAAAUUUUAUUUCAAAAUAUAAGUUGAAAAUCAUAAUUUUUACAGUGAUGAACUAUUUAAAAAUGUGUUUUUGAUGAUUAAAUAUGAAUGAAUUUUUAGAAAUCUUAUAGAUUUUAAAAAUAUCCGUGAUUUAUUUUAUUUGUAUUGUAUUUAGAAACGUGAUUUAUCUUAGUUAUUUUUAUUUAGACUUGAAUUAUCGAGAAACAAUUUAAAGAAAAAUUUGGAAUUCUCUAUAAUUUUUUUUGGGUGUUAAAUGGUUAGUGAUAUUUUUUAAUAAUAAUUUAAGUCUAUAAAUUAAUUUUUAGAAUGAUGUGUGUAACCUUGAAAGUGGUUUUUGCCCUACCUGAUUCAAUUUGAUUUGGUAAUGUAUUGUAUCUUCUAGUAAAUAAUUAUUUAUCUUAUCUUCUACUUGGAAAAUCUAUAUAUGCUUUCAUUUGUUGUAACUUUUAAGUGAUGGUUAACUCAAAAGAAAAUGUAAUCGUAAUCAAUUUGGAGCAGCUAGACCUCUAUGAGAAUAUGUUUCAUUUUUUGAAUCAUCGUUUGAGUUAUGAGAUGAACGUAAAAUCUUGGUGCUGAUUUUUGGAUCAGUUAUUUGAAUGUGUAUAUGAUUAUGUAAAUAUUAAAUUGUUCGUUUUUCAAGUGUUCUAAUUGUUGGGAAUUGGUGUAUAGAGUUAGAGUAGUCGAGAGCAUCUAAAAGUGAAAUAGUUCUAUAUUUCUUCAAUCAGAUUAUUGAUUAUAUAUUGAUAUUAGUGUCAUUUCCUUGUUGUUGUAACUAGUUGUAAAUUACCAAUAAAUUAUUGUCAAUGUGUAAUUAAGUGAGUUUUUAACUUUAAGUAAGGAGUAGGAGUUGUGGCGCCGCCUUCGCACUCCUGAAUCAUGUUAAAGAUACUUUUAAUUACCCCUGUUUGAAUUUGAAUGACUACAAUUAUAGUUCCUUAAGUAGUUGACUACAUGAGUAGGAGGGACAAGCUACCCCGAUGACUCAUCGUCGAUCAAAGAUGCAACAAUAAUUCGUAGUUAUUAUUAGUAUAAAUACUUGUUAAUUUUAUUUUGGAAAUAGUUAGAAAUCAUAUUCAUCUGUUAUACAACUUUGAGCGAUUAUGAGUCUUAUGUGACACCCAUGUUGAAUGCUUAAUAACUGAUUAGGUGAGUGAAUAUUAGGUUGGUUGUGUGUACUUAAAUUAAACAUUCAAUUAAGUAUAUUUGAUAUUCUAAGUAACAUGCUUAAAAUAAAUAAGUGCAUUGUGUUAGUGUCUUUUUAGUUCUAUAUAUUGUUUUAUUUGAUAAGGACCUAGAACUAUUGUAAGGGUUCUAUAAAUGAAUUUUGUGUAGCAUUUUAAAAUUAAGUUAGACUUUGGGUGUGUUUGAAACUAUAUGUGAAAAAAAAAAUUGUUCUAUUCCACUAUAAUUAUGCACGUUAGUUUUGUUUUAAAAAACUUAAGUGAUUGUAGAACAUCGAGUUGUUAUAUGCAUUUAUGUUCGUAAUUCAUGAAGGUGUGAUAUAUUUUAAAUGUUUCUCUAUUUGUCUAACUUUGUGAAACUUAUAGAGUAAUUGUAUUUACGAUUUAAACACCCUUUUAGUAGAUUGAAACUAGUAGAAUAUUGUUUGAGGAGUUAGUUGAACUUGAAAACGUAUUUGAUAUAUGUGUUAUUUGACGUAACUGAAUGUAGUAAGUUGUUGUUGACUAAAAUUCACAUGUUUAGUUUUAUCUAUAUAUGAUACUGACUAAUCAUGAUCAUGAUAUUCGCUUCAUAAUUAAAUUAUUGAAUGUGAUGUGUUUAAUUAAAUUGUUGUCAUGUUAACCUAUCAUGUUAAGCUAAUUGAUUUUUGACACAAUGUGCUUAAUUAAAUAGUAAAUGUCUUAAAUACAUGUAUAGACUAAGUUUGAAUCUAGAAGGUGGUAAGUUAGAUAUUAGUUCAAUCACCACAAAUUUCGAGGACGAAAUUUCUUUAACGAAUGAAGAAUUGUAACACUCUAAAUUUUAUAAUAAAUUAUUUUCUUAGUUAAAUACUAUUAUAGAUAAAUAAUUUGAUUAUAUAUUUAUUUAUUUUAUAAUUUCAAAUAUUCUCUAAUGAUGAUAGUAUUUUAAUUUGAGUAUUUGAAAAAUAUAAGUAUAAUUAUAGUGAUUAUUUUGAAUAUGAGAAUCUUAAUGAUUAAUGUAUCUUAAAAAGAUUAAUUACUUGAUUUUAUAAAAUAUUAGUUUUGAAAUAUUAGUAAUAUUUUAAAAAUUAAAUUGUGUUUAAAAAUAAAUAAAAAAUUAAAAGAAAUGAGCAAGAUGUGUUUUAUGGAUUAGGCCUCUAUGCAAGAGUAAAAUUUAAUUAAUAAUAAUAAUAAUAAUAAUAAUAAUAAUAAAAAUAAAAAUAAUAAUAAUAAUAAUAAUAUUAAUAUUAAUAAUAAUAAUAAUAAUAAUAAUAAUAAUAAUAAUAAUAAUAAUAAUAAUAAUAAUAAUAAUAAUAAUAAUAAAGAAAACGAAAAAGAGAAUGAGAACAAAACACUCCAAAUUAUUUUUGCUAUUAUAAACAUUAUUAUAUGUGUAUUUGUUGGAAUGUAAUAAUUCUUUACGUGUUUAUAUUUAUGUUUCGUCUUAUUUAAAAUUAUUUAUAUUAAUAUAUUUAUCUGAUUUCAAAAGUAAAUUUAUUAAUUUUAAAAUGUUUUAUUUUAACUAUGAUAUGCUAUUAUUAUUGCUACCCACAUCUUUCAUAAUUAAAUAUAUUUUUAUUAUAUGUAAAUAAUGAUUAAGUUAUUGGAAAUGUUUUAAAAAAAAUAACAAUAAAAUAAGAUAAGAUUUAAAGAUAUACUCUUACGUUGUUUUUCUAGAUUAUAUAUAUAUAUAUAACUAAUUUGAUAUUUAUAUAAUAUAAUAGUUAUUAUAAACAAUCUCUCGUUUGAAAAUUUGUUUGCCGAUCGCUACCUAAUCAUAGUAAUACUUUAUAUGUUAUUAUAUCAUAUACACUUAUACCUAAUACCUAAUGUUUAUAUAAUAAUAUGAGCGCACAGCCAAGCAACAGCCGCCACUCUUGUAAAUAUAUCGUUUUGAAAUAAGGAUUUUGUCGUAAAUUAAAAUUCAUUAUUUUUUCAACUAUGGCAGUGACUAAGGUGGAGUUGUUUUGUGAUAAACAAAUGACUCCAAACAAGAACAUCAGGGCAGCCAAUCCUAAGAAAAGAGGUGAACCUGAAGCAGUAAGAGUAAACGUUCAGGUGCUGGUGCUAUGACCCUUUUCCACCUUUUUCAAAUCGAAUAAUUCAGCGCUCUCAAAAAGCAGAUCAAAGGCUUCCUAUUUAAUGAUUGAAUGAUCAAUACACCUCCUUUAUAUUUAUUAUCUUCAUCAAAAUCACCCUCAUUCAACUGCCACGUGAAUGAAGAAUCAAGUUGUUGACCCAUUAUUUGUUCACUUUCAACAUAGUUGCAAGGCCUUAUGAUCGUCGUAGUGGUGGUCUAAAACAACAUAGAAUAUUUCUAUGAUCUACGCAUCGAAAUCAUCAUUCUACACCCUUCCCGACAAAUCUCGUGUUCGUCGUUUAUUCUGUUUCGAACCUAUAUUGAUAGUUAAUGUUCGACAUUGAUGCAUUUUUUAUUUUGAAUUUCAGUGUCGUCGCGGUUACCCAUAAACAUUGUUUCGAGUCUUCCAAUAUUUUAGAUUUCUCCGCUGUUGAUGAAACUUCUCUAACUUAUACCAUAUGAGAUCAUCAAACCAUGUAAGGGGUGAUAGAGCGUUUGAAUUCAUAAAUAUAAUAUAUUGUGAGAUGAACAGAAAACCGUAUUUCCCAACGAUUUAUAUGGGGCUUGCUAGGUACGACAGUAGCCAUUUGAAAGAUAAAUUGAUUAAUGUGAAAUAUGAGAAUUGUGAGAUUAAAAUGUGAAAUUAGAAAUGUUUAUAAUGUGUUGAUUGAUUUAAUUCUUGAUAAUUGUGUGGUAGUUGAUAUUUGUCAUUAUUGUGAUGUUGGAUGUCGAAUGAAAUUAUGUUCAUAUGUUUGAUUAGACGAAUUAAUGUGAUGUGAUAAUAAAAGAUAUAUGUUAAUGUGGUAUGAUAUAUGUAUACGUGAUAAUAGUGAUGUUUUUUGAUUGAUGAUAGUGAUAUUAUAAAAUUGUGAUGAGAUAGUGAUGAUUCCUAAAGAUGACGCCCUUAAUGGAGUAGUCUAAGCCAAUGAGGGGAGAAAAUAAAUAUUGAGAAUUUACGAAGUGAAGAUUGUUUUGUCAUCAUAUAGGUAGAGCCCGACAAGCCUAGUGAUUCCAGGGAAAUACAACUGAAUGAGUCUGAUUGUGGCGGUCUGCUGUCGAGCCUUAAGGCAAGAUUGUUAGACCUUGGAGGUAUUCGGGUGGGGAAUUCCUAGGUGACUUGGAGGUAGCACUCCAAAUGUCGGGAGCUACCACGCAACACACGUUUACCUCGACUGUCACGUAUAUGUGUCUCGGGUUGAGUUGAGGGGAUCUAUGAGGACAUGACCAAUUUGAAUUGCCCGUCCACCGGGAUGGUGGCAUAGUAUCAAGCCUUCUAACCAAGUACUUCAGAGAGUUAGAAUGGUACCACAUUGUGAAGUAGAGUCUAAGCUCAUGUAUAGCAUUGCAUUUUCUUGUGAUUGUUUUGUUGUGAUUAAAAUGUAUUAUUUGUGAUAAUAAUUUAUGCGAUCAUUUGAUGUUACAAUGAAGUGUAUUGAUUUUCUUUGAUUUUGACUAUAUAAUGUGAUGUUUUCCUUGAAGAAUGUUUGUGUAAUGAUACGGUUUAUUGAUGAUUAAUUGCGUGUUUCUCUUAUUUAUAUUAUACUAUCAACAUGAUUUCAAAACUCACCUCCUUCGUUGUUUGUGUUUGACUGGCUUGGCCAUGCGUUUGCGAAAUCGCAGUUAUUAUAGGUUAAUGAGUCUCGAAGUUCAAGUUUGGGAGAAACUCCGCUCUGAUAGGUGAUACCGGAAAUUAAGAGUUGUAAUGUGUAUUUUACUUAUGUUAUUACAAAUGACUUUUUAUAUGAAAACUUAGUACGAGUAAGCUUUGGGAAUUAAAUCAAGAAAUUCUAGUUAAAUCAAAUUCAUUGAUAUUGUACUAUUUUAAUUGAGGAACAAAGUUGAAUUGUUACAUGUGUAUUUAGAGAAACGUGAUAUCCUAAAGUAGAUAUUAAAGUUUUUAUCCUAUUUAACAAAUUUUCUUUAUCUUUUGCAAGUUUUCUUCAAAUAAUUUAGUAUAUAUUAUUAUAAAUGUUAUUUUGGGGGUUAGGGUGUCACACACACAAUUAAUUCUUUAGGCAUAAGCCUGACUUACGACCUAUCAUAGACUCUUUUUUUGGCAUCGCCUGACCUUUUUAAAAGUUUGGUCUGGCCUGGAUUUAAAAAAUUUUUGAAACAAACAUUUUUUAAACCCUAAAACAUAAUUUUUGGUUUCAAAGAAUAGAUUUUUUAUGAAAUAAAUGCACCAAUUGUUACCUCUCAAACAAAUAUGAAAUGACUACUGAGUGAUUGACUAAUUGAAUGGCUACCGAAUAUGGAACGACUACUAAAUAUGGAACGACUAUCGAAUAUGGAAUGACUACUGAGUGAUUGCCUAAUUGAUAGAAUUUAAAAUAGGAAAUAAUAUUAUUAAUAUAAUAAUAAAAAAUAGCGUUAAUAAAUAAUAAAAUAUAUAUAUAGGCUAGCCUGUGAGGCCUAAUAGGCUUUUUUAUAAGUCUGAGUCUGACCUAUUUAUAUAAACAUGCUUUAAAAAUAGUCUGAGCCUAGCCUUUUUAUUAAAUAGGUCAGGUCAGACCAAAAGUAAGCCGGACAAUAGGCCCCUGACGGACGGCCUAACCUAUUUUCAUCUCUAAUCGAGAGUACGAUAAUCAAUUAAAACAACAUGACCUUAGAUAAAACACUAAUUACGUUCGUCUCAUUAUUUUAUUUAUUUAUAUAUUCUUAUUGAUUCAAAUUGGAGACGAAAAUAAUUUCAGGGGAAAAUUAAAAAAUAAACAAUAGAUUCACACACAAAAAAUACAAUAUAUAAAACACAUACAGUUUGUCACCAUUACAAAAGAAACUAAACAUUUUAACACAACUGGCAUACAGUGUUUGAGGCAAACAAACUACACGUUCAAGUAGCUUUUAUUCUAAUUAAUUAUUCAUUCUCCUAGUGGAAAACAAAGCCUAAAUGACUUUGUCUAGUAAUUAUUAAAACUACUAUAACUUGUCUCGUUCUUAAUUAGGUUGACUUACAUGGUUUAUAAACAAAAUGGUUAAUAUUAAGACAAGUACACUUCAAAGGUUCUAUACACCUACAUGACUUGUAAUUUGUGUGACAUGUUUUCUAACAUCACCACAUCUACAUUUAACAACCUGUGUAUAUAUGAAGAUACUUAAAUCACAACAUGUUGGAAAUGAUGGUGAUAUUAAUGGAAGAUUGUUGGUAAUAAUGAUGACAUUAAUGAGAGUUAGUGUUGUUGUGAAUUGAAAAAAUAAGAAAGUCAUAUAUAGGAGGAUAUCACACACUAGUAGUAUUUAUAAGGUGGAUAUGUAUGGAACUUGGGGUGUUCCCCAAGGGGUACCUCAAUUUUAAAAAGGAGGAAGAACGCAUGCAAAAUUGAUCAUCUCACUUACGCGCACCACCUUUCGACCGACUCGACUGGGCAUGAGCCUGACCUAAAUGGUGUAUUAUUUUUUAGUAUAUGAAAAAUAAAUAAAUAAAUAAUUUAUUUAAUAUUAAAUGAAUGCUUGCGUUUUUAUCUCUUAUUAAUAUGUUAAUUACGUAAUUGUCAUCCACCGAGUCAACAUUCAACAUCUGAUCCAGUCAGUUCUUUGCCCUCAAUUUCGCGCAUCAAUUCUUUGGUCAAAACCCUAAUAUUUUGUCUCACACAUCUGUUAUUGCUCAGUUAAAACCAUAAGUUUGGAGCACACAUUUAUGUGGUCAAAAACCUAAAGAUUGGAGCACACGUUUAGUGUAUCAGACCUAAUGGAUCACACCUUUUUCUCUAAUCCAAUUGCAUAUUUUCUCUAUAAAUAGAGGAUUCUCCUUAGUUGGAAAAACACACCAAAAGCUCUAUGAUUAUGAGACUUUUCUCUCUUAUCCUCCUUUCUUUCCCACUUCUUCUUUUUCUUUCGAGUGAUCUUAGUACCAUAUUACGAGUGGCAGCCAUCCGACUGCCAUAUUGAGAGUGUAAUUCUAGAACGGGAUUCUACAGUACAAUAGAACUCCGAUACAAUGUAUUUGAACUGUUUUAUCUUGGGGACUUCGCGGUUGAUAGUCUUCCUUGCACAAUUUAGGCAGUACCGCGAAACGUCUUAAAGAGAGCGAUCUAGUCCGCGAUUCAACCCAAUUUAUUUUCUGUGGCAUAAAUUGAAUUUUAAAAGUUUUUCAAAACUCAAAAAUAACAUAACAUGGUUUAGAUAUUGUUGGUCGAGUUAACAUUGUAAUUACUAGAAUGAAUAUCAAAGUGAGCAUCAAUAAUUAUGGCGAAAUCCAAGAAAAAUAUAUUAACAAAGCUACCUUAAUCUUCAAAUCCAUCUCUUUAUAUGUAUGAUGUUUUUGGUUUUGUUUUGUUGAAUAUUGAUGAUAUAUAUCUAUUUCUUUUCGCAAUUGUGCGUAGUAUAUGACUAUCGACCAUAUCUUACUUUAUUUCCUUUUAAUCUUCAAAUUUAUCUCUCUAAUUUUCUCUUUUUAUAAUAUGUAUGUAUAUAUGAUUAUUUUAUUUCGGUGAAUGAUGACUGAUGAGGUUGGAUUUACUCAGUCUAUAGAAGAUGGUUUGUAUAUCAUUAUUAAAAAUGGUAUUUAUGUUUAGAAAGAGUACGUGAGAGAUGAUAUAUUUAAGUUGAAUGUUAAAAUUAAUAAAAUGUCUCAUUUGAUUUAUUUGUUGUGUGGUUUUAAUAUUGACAUACUCGACUUUGUCAUGUGAAUAAACGGAUAAUUUUAAGCUUAAAUAGCUUAGACUUAAUUCUAGAAAUAGAAAAAUAUGUUAUAUGUUAUCAAUUUUAUUGACGAUUGCUCUGGCUAUAGUUUUGUAUAUCUUACGAAAAAUAACAGUGAAAUGCUUGCUAUGUUUAAGAUUUUUGUAACAUAAGUUGAAAAUCAAUUCAAUUGAAAGAUUAAGAUGUUUCGUAGUGAUAGAGGAAUGUAGUAUGAUUCUCACAUAUUUAAUUAUUUUCAUAAUUGAAUGGAAUUAUACAUGAAACAAAUAUAACUUUUACUGAAGAAUUGAUUAUUGCUAUUAUACUUAAUUUUAGUGUUUUACCUCAUUGGUGGGAGCAUUUUAUAGACUAAAAGUUUUUACCUCAACACCACUUUCUUUUGUUAAUUGUAUGCAUAUGAUGAUUGCAUUUUCCUAUUUACAGAUAGAUUAAAUUUAAAUGAGGGUGGUUAUGACUAUUGACAAUGUCUUGCUUUAUUUCUUUUAAAUUUUUCUUUCUUAGAAUAUAUAAUAAAUACCAUCAUAAUUAACUCAUACAACUAUAAAAUAUCGAAUUUAAACAUGAACAAGGCGUUCAACCUACAAUAUGGACUUUUAUUAGUUGAGCUUUGACUCUUUUUUGACCAUUUGAGCUGGAACUUAUCAUCAUCUUGUUCAAAAUUACGACGUAAGUGGAUAAUCUUGAUUACCUAUUUCAUGACAUAUUUAUAUAGCUAAAUAACACAUUUAGUCUCUUACCUUAAUUUCAGUUAACGUUUUAGUCCUUUAUCUUUUUUUUUUCUUCUCGAUUUGGUUAUUUAUUUUAAUUUUAAGUGACAAUUUGAUCUUUUAUGUUUUAAAAUAUCAAUAAUGUAAUCUUUUUUUUUUUUUUGCAAAAAUUCAAAAUAAAAUUAUCAAAAAUUUCAAACAAAACCCAUAAAAUAAAUUAUCAUUCUCAAUAUAAUGCAAAUUUCAUCAAAUUCAUAACUUAAAUCUUUAAAUAAACUCAUAUUUUCAUCUAUAACAACAUCAAAUAAAGAAUAAAAAUAUGAGUUUAUUUGAAAAUUUGAGUUACAAAUUUGAUGAAAUUUGUAUUAUAUUGAAGAAUAUAAUUAAUUUUAUGGGUUUUAUUUGAAAAUUGUGAUAAUUUUUUUUAAUUUUGGUAAAAAAAAGGAUAACAUUGUUGAUAUUUUAAAAUAUAAAAGAUCAAAUUGUCACUUAAAAUUAAAAUAAAGAAUCAAAUUGAAAGAAAAAAAAAAUUAAAAUUAAAAUUAAGUUAAAGGACCACGGAUAGGCUGUAUGUGGCACAUAAUAGUCUACUAUGAUAAAAUCAAACAGUGGGUGGCAUCAAUUAAAACGACUUUCUAUUACUCCCUUGUGUCUUUUUUAAAUUCAACUUGUCUCAAAUUAACAUUAAUCAUAUCAUUAUCUUAAUUGUAAAGACAAAACAAAUCGUUCCUGAUUUGAAACAUUAUUUAUUUUUCAGAAAAGAAAAAAGACGUAGCCAUAAAAAUAAUUUGUGUUCAGAUAAUAUGAUUUAAGAGUUAGCUAAUGUUAUAAUAUUUCAUGUAUUAGACAAAUAAGGCAUAACUAAUAUUUUUACUACUUAUAUUAAUAAUUUUUAAAACAUUUCUAUCAUAAAAAUAUAUUAAAAAAGUUUCUACCUUAAAUUAUUCAAUAAUAAAUAUAAAAAUAGUUUAUAAAAAAUUCACAUUUCAGAAACUCGUGACGGCAUAUGAUGCACCCAAAGCCAAUAACUAUUUUCUUCCAUACUGAUAUAUUUUUAUAUAGUCAUUCAUCACAUCAACAAUCACAAUACUUUUUUUUUUUUUCUCAAAAUAUCAUAGAGUUAUUUAAGAAUGUCUAUUAAUAAUUUUUCCAUCUUUCUCACUCUUAUAAUUCGUACUAUAAGAAUCCAACAAUACAAUUGUCUCAUCAAAACUAUGACUUAUGAUGGUUCUAAUUGUAGUGUAUGAGAUUCUCCAUUAAUUUUUUUUCUUCAAGAUUCUCCAUAAUUGAUCGCUAUAUAUAGUAACCACCACAACCGUUUAACUAAUUGAACUCUAUAAAUAAUUAAAAUUGUAUAAAUUAUUCUUGUUUCAUUAUUUUUUAUUUUUAUAUAAAAUUAAAUUUUGUUAGAAUAACUUUAAUUUACUUUUGUUUAAAAAAAAUGGGAAGAUGUGCUUAUAAAAAUGAGUAGAGGUAGUUUUUAUUUUUUAAUAUUUUUAUCGGUUGUUACUUUAUAAGAGCAAUUGAUUGACUUUUUAUAAAAAAAAAAAAAAUUUAUAGGUUUUAAUUUAUAUUUAAAAGAAUUUCAAUUACUAUUUUGAAUAAAGCAAUGUCUGAUGUAAGGAUGGUUUAUUUUUUUCCGCAAACGCAAUCGUGACAUUAAUAAUUUAUUUAUUAUUUAAAUUUUUAUUUUUUAUAUACCCAGCUAUAUAGAAUUCAACAAAUGCCAGAAAAAUUGUGUUACUUUAAUUCUAAUAUAUGUUUUUAAUUGAUAAAAAAUAUUAAUUACUUAUGCAAAGCAGAAUACACAAACUAGUGUCUUAAUAUUAUAAAGUUAUAUAUAUUUUUUUCAUAUACAACACUAUAUAUCAAAUAUAUAUUUUUAUGUAUAUGAUAAACAAUCAUUUAAAACAUACAUUUUUUCACCAUUGCAAAAGAAACAAAAUAUUUUGACACAGCUAGCAUGCAAUGUUGUAGGCAAACAAACUGCACUUCCAAAUAGCUUUUAUUCUAAUUAUUCAUUCUCCUAGUUGAAAACAAGCCUAAAUGACUUUGUCUAGAAAUUAUUAAAAAUACUAUUACUUGUCUCAUUAUUCUUACCUACAUCGUUUAUAUAGUUUAUUAUAAUAAUCAUUAAAAUCAAGACAAGUACACUUCAAAGGUUCUACACACUUACAUGAUUCGCAAGUUGGGUGACAUGUUGAUUUAACGUCAAGACAUUUACAUAGAGGAAUAACUGAUCUUGUGCAAAUACCUAUUUUAUCACAACAUGGUAAAUAUGUUGUCGUCGAGUUAACAUUGUAAAUACCAGAAUCUAAUUGAAAGCGAGCAUCAAUAAUUGUGGUGAAACCCAAGAAAAAAAUUAACAAAGCUACCUUAAUCUUGAAAUCCAUCUCUCUCUUUAUAUGUAUGAUAUAUAUCCCUUUCUUUUCUUAAUUGUAUGUAGUAUAUGAAGAUUGCAUUUUCCCAUUUAUAGAGAGAUUAAAUUUGAAUGAGGGCGAUUAUGACUAUUCACAAUGUCUUUAUUUUUUUUUUAAUUUGUUAUUUAAAAUAUACGUAAUCUUCAAAUUCAUCUCUCUAAUUUCCUCUCUUUAUUAUAUGUAUGUAUAUAUGAUUAUUAUUAUUUUUUCGGAGAAUGAUGAUUGAUGAUAUAUCCCUUUCUUUCUAAAAUUGUAUGUAUACGAAGAUUGCAUUGGCUUAUUGUAUGAACAUCUAGAAUAUGUUAGAAUAUGUUAGUGCGUGCUAAUUUAAAAAUUAUUAAAAGUUUUACAUUGAAAGUUUUACCCACAUUUUUUAGAUUUCAACUCUAUAAAUAUUAAAGUAUCACAUUAUAUAGUUUACGCAUAUGAGAAAACUUUCAUCACAAUAUAAAAAGUGUCAAAAUUUUGUGAAAAACACAUCCAAGUUAAAUGCAAUUUUCAUCUUUCUCUUUUCUUUCACUUCUGCUUGACGAACUUCUAAGUCACAUCUCUCCUUUCUUUUUGUCCCUUCCAUAUUUUAGAAUAGUCAUAAUAGCAUUGUUCCUUCGGUUUAAGAGAGGUCAUAACACCACUAUCCCUUUGGCUUUCGAGUAGUCAUAAUUCUACUGUCUCUUCGAUUUCAGAGUGGUCAUCAUACCAUAUUGUCCCUUUGAUUUUAGUGUAGUCGACGUGUCGUAAUCCCUUAUGUAUACAAGUGGUCCUAGCAUCGUACUUCUAGAGUGACCGUAAUAGCCAUAUUUGAGGGUGUAAUUUUAGAACCGUACAGUGGAAUAUCGAUACAGUUUGUAACUUGACUAUUUUAUCAUAGGGACUUUGUAGUUGAUAUUUUUUUGGACAAUACCGCGAAAACCUCCUAAAGAGAGUGACAUAGUCUUCAAUUUUAACCCAAUAUUAUCUUCAAUAGCUGAAAUAAAAAUUUUAAUAGGUUUAUUUCUACCAUGUAUACCGAAAAAAUAAUUAUCUAACUUAUUUGCUUCUAACUUCAACAAAUUAUUUCGGUUUGAGGGAUGUCACUUCAAACGAUGGCAACAAAAGAUGUUUUCCUUAACUACGAAAAUAGUUGGCAACAUUCUGAAAUAUGACAUUCCAAUGGUUCCAAUGAUAGUUGAACAAACAUAAAAGGAUAAAAAAACUGCAUAAUUGAUCCAAUGGGAAGAUAACGAUUAUCUCUGCAAGAAUUAUAUUUUUAGUGGACUUUCUGAUUAUCUAUAUGAUUAUUACAAUGCUUGUAGGUUUGCUACAAAAUUUGGGAUGCUAUGAAAAAUAAGUAUGAAACUGAGGAAGUUGGUGCUAAGUAAGAAGUAUGAUGUGAGUUGCUACAUCACAUUCCGGGGAGGCACAAUCCCCUGAAAUUCAGAAGAUAGCUCAUGAAAUUAUCACUAAAUGUAUGACUUUAGAUGAUCAAUUUCAUGUAGUUGUGAUAAUAGACCAAUCGCCCUUUACUUGUAAAUAUUUCAAAACAAAACACAAGAUGUUGAGUAUCAUGGAUGUUUAAAGAAGUGCAAUUUUUGGGUCUUUGACCUUCUCGAUUUACAGACAAAUAAAUGCAGGAAGUAGCUCUGAAGGUAGUUUUAAUUACAAACCUUAAAAAUUUUAUAUUGCAACAUAAAUUAUUUAGAGUUGGGAAAAAAGAACUUCAAUAGUACAUUUAAAAAGCAAGUUUAAAUAUGUAUUUAGUCUUUGCAACUAUAAUAUUUUUUUAAAAAAAUUUUAGUCCUCGUAAGUUUUUUGUUUGGUUAACAACUCUGUAAAUAUAGUUACAUUUUAAAAUAGUUCUUCCAUCUAAUUUUUGUUACCAAAAUUGUAACUCUGUUAAAACAUAACCAUUUUUUAACAAAAAGAAACUAUAAUAUAAUUAAAUUAUAAUAAUUUUUAACCUAAAAUUAAUCACAAAUAUUUAAGUAUUCUUUCCAACCUAAAUCACGAAUUCUUCUUCAUUGUUUCAGUCAUUUUCCUCAUCAUAAUUUUCAUCACUGCCACCAACAUCUUCAUCCAUUUGAGAUUCAUCAUUGUAUUCAAAUUCAUUGUUAUCAUAAUCUUUUUCUUCGUCUAGUGGUACUUGUUGGACAAUGGUGGAUUCUAGAAUUGACUAUGAAUCAAAGUUUAUCUUCUUGGUGUGGAGAUUAAGAGAUUUUAAGGAAGUGUAUGAAAAAGUCCAAAAAUGAUAGUAUAAUUUGGUUAUAUAAUUGACUCUGAAUCAAAUUCCAUAAGCUUUUCUAGAUUUUUUUAAUUUUAUGAAUUGAGACACAACGUGAUGAAUUCUACAAUGGGAAGAUGACUGAUAACUCUUCAUCAUAUGCAUAUUUUUCAUUAUUUUUAAUCUUAUUUAUCUUUUAUUCAUUAGUUAAUUUAAGGAUUUAUUUGAUAUAUUUUGUUAAUUUUAUUAAUUUGUUUUAAGAAAUGUUUAUGUUCUUAUUUCCUUGAUUAAGUAGAGAUUUUUUGGAGUUUUGUGUUGUUACUUUGUUUUAAUGUAGUGCUGAAUUUUGGUGAGAAAUCAACAUGAUAUAUGUGGAGUAUUUAAGUCAUAUUUGGAGUUGUAGAUGUCCAAUUGGAGUCAAACCAUGUGCAAAUGAAAGAUAAAAUCCAUAGCUACAACUUUAAUGAAGACGCCAAAACCAAAUUCAGACUCAAAAGAUGAGAAAAAUGCACUCAACGCCAAACAUAAGAUGAUGUGCGCCUGAAGCGCAUUUCAGCGCUCAAGACCUGCCGCAGCGCAUCGGAAGCGCACAAUGCGUAGAAAAACACAUUAAAACUCAGUUUUUUCACUUUUGAGGCAUCUUUUUCACUAUUGGAAAGUUGGGAGACUUGUGCCCUACCAUAGAAACUCAAAGACGGUCGUUUCUAACACCAUUGGAGUAGUUUUAUCAAGAAUCAUUCAUGAAUCUUUCUUGUAACUCUGCUAUAAUCUCUAUAUUUUAUGUCUCUGUCAUGAGUAACUAAACCCUAUUUGUUAGGGAUGAGUGUAACAAGAUGAAACUCUUAUUUUCUGAUUUGAUUUCUAGUUAUAUGAAUGAGUUUAUUGAAUUAUUUUUCUCAUCUCUGCACUUAAUGUUUUUUAUUUCUUGAUCAACAUUUACAUGUUCUACGAUUCGUAUUUUGAAACGGAAGUGGACUUUAUGAAUGCUUGAGAUAAGAAAUUUAUGAAUUUGUAGUCUAGGGAUAGAUGCAAGUCAUGAAACCAAUUAAAUUAGUUGCAGAGACAAUAUUUAAAAAGAGAAUUCAUGUACGGUCAUGUUUAAUUAUAAUCUUAAAUUCACUAAGGAAUUAGAGGUUACUUUGAAAUUAAAGGUUUUGUCACUAAGACAUUAGGGCAAGAAUAAUAAAGAGAAUUCGGUAAUAAUUCAAUAAUAGAAUUCAGUAACUAGGAUCAAAUUAGACACGAAAGUUGGAUUUGAAGUGAAACUCAUCCGUGACAUUUUUCUUAUAAUAAAGGAUCAAUUUUAUUAGUGUUGUUAAUGUUAAAUAUUAUUUCAAUCAAUUUGAGAACCUUUUGUUCAAUUGUAGUAAUUAAAUAUAAUUCAAUAGUAAAACGCAACCAUUGAGUUCGACGCUCGGUACUACCGUUUUAUUAUUACUUGCAACGAUUCAGUACACUUGCUGAAACGCUAUCAAUGACAUAAAGAAGAAUGUGCAAUUUAAGUUUUCUAGGGAUGAAGACUAAAACAUUUGAGGUUAAUUUUAGGUUAAGAAAUAUUAUAAUUUAAUUGUAUUUGGAUUUUGUUUGUUAAGAAAUAGUUAUUUUAAACAGUGUUACAAUUUUUGUAACAGAAGUUGGAUGGAAUGACUAUUUUAAAAUGAAACUAUAUUUGUAAGAAUGUUAAUAAAAAAAAAAAUAAAAAUAAAAAACUUACGAUCACCAAAGUAAAAAAAAUAUAAUUGCAAGGAUCAAAUACAUAUUUAAACCGAAAAGAUAUUACUAAAUUAAUAUAUUUGGCAUGACUCAAGUGGUUGGAUAGCGGCGAUUUAUACCAAAAGGUCUCAUGGAUCUUGGAUAGGUUUGUUUGUAAAUUGAAGACUACUUAUCAUUUAUAAAUAUUUUGGUAGGUGUUAUCUCAUCUAAUAGAAGACUUUGAAAAUAGUUGAAUAACAUGUCAUCUAUGAAUGAGUUUGAUCAUAUUUUAAAUUUAACAUCACUAAAUUUGUAAGUUUUAUUUUUUUCGUCUAUUUUGAAAUAAUAUUUUUUGUUAUUAUUUUAAUUACAAUUACAAAAACAAUUUAUUUAAUUACUGAGUCAAAAUUAAAUAAUAAUCAAAACCCUUAAUUUAAUACACUUUAAAAGAUACUAAAUAAUGAUCAUAUAAAUGAAUUAAAAAAAAUUAAUGGCCAAAGUAUUCAUAGUACCUAAUAUAUAUACGAAACUGAUUGCACUUUGACAUAGAGUGGUUUAGUGAUAACACUCUCCAUGAUAAUAGUUUUUGUUAUUUUGAUUGUAAAUAUACUAGUUUCUUUGACAAAAUUAAAAAUACUUAAAUUUGAAUCAAAUACUUUUAAUAUAUCUAAAAGAUAGAAUUACCAUUACACCAAAAUUAAAUAUAUGAGAUUAAUUAAAAAUAUUUUAUAUAUAAUAUAUUUUAUGUUUGUCUCCGAUAAAAUUUGUCAAGAUCCGUCAUUGUUGAUGAUUAUGACUGUUGAAAAAUAACAUCAUCUUCAAAGGAAAUGUUGCAGAUUUUCAAAAGGUGUUGGAUGAUGUAAAACUCAUAUCCUAGUUAUGGUUUUUGAGUAAAACAAGAACAAAUUAUUAUAGAUUUUCUGAUUGUUGUAUUAAUCAACAAAUAAUUACACCACAUCAUAGGAACCAUAAUAGGGGUUUCUUUUGACUCUUGUUUAUUUUUUGGAUUUUGAAUAUUGCAACUGUGUCAAUGUUCUUUCGUGACGCUUAAUUAGUGAUUGUGUCUAUUCCGCUUUUUUAUUUCCUUUAUAUACUGUUAUUUAUUUUCAAAAUAUUUGGAUCGAGAAUUAUUUCCUUUGUUUUUACUUUUUUAUUACAACUGAUUUUGUUGAAUAGUAAAUCGAUUUUUUCUAUUAAAAAAAUAGAUAUCGUAGUUGAUUAAAAAAACAUAGAUAUCUUAGUUCUUAUGUACUACUAGUGUAUAUUAAAUUCCAUAUUUGAUUAAUUACAUAUUAAUUAAAAAAAUUAUAUUGUACUUAGAUAGAAGACACUCUUAAAUUUUUUAUAAGUUGAACUUUCAAAUGUAUUUUUCUUUUACUACUAUAUUUUUAUUUAAUUUACAUAUUUUUUAAUCAACAAUAAAUAUUUAAAGACUAUAAUUCCCUUAAAAAAAAUAAAUACCAUUUUUUUUUAAUUCUAGAAGGGUAAUUUUGUAAAAUCAAUAUUAAUUGUUAACCUAUUUAAUGUUAGUACUAAUUUUUUUUACUCUGUAUAGAAAAUGGUAAAGACAUUCGUACAAACUGUAAAAUCUUGAGUUCAAAUUUAGGACAUAGUUUUCAAUCUAAUAAUAUCAAUAUUUUUUAAUUGAGUUAAAUUUUAUAAAUUUGUAUCAAUUUUUUAAUAAUUAACCUAUUUAAUGUUAAUUAGGACCAAUUUUUGUUAGUCUGUAUAAGAAAUAGUAAAGAAAUUCGUAUACAAACUGUGCAAUUACGGAUUUAAAAUCUGAAACAUCGUAUUAAGUAUACAAUAUCAAUAUGUAUCAAUUAAACUAAAUCUUACGAUAUAAUACCAAUUUUUUAAUUAUCAUAAUUUUUUCAUUAAAGUCUUAUAUAUUUAGACACAAAGAUACCUAUAUGGUUGAUUUGUCACUUAAUGAAUCAUAGUUGAUCACUAAGAUUAUAUAUUUUGUUUUCUCUACAACUAUAUACUUUUAAUCACGAAUUUUUUUCUUUAUUUUUAAUGGUUUCAAAUAUAUCGUUUUUUUUCAUUGAUGUUUUUUUUUGUAUUUAAAUAAAAUAUUUAUGUUAGAAUUUUUUUCAUGUAAUAUGUACGACAUAUAUUAGAUUGAUGCCACGUUAUCUUAUUUUACAAGAACCAAAAUAAAUAAUCAAUAACUAAAAAGUAAAAAGUGAUUUAUACUUUUUCUCUUACCAAACAAAACUCUUAUUAUUUCAAAAUAUUCUCACUAUAAGUUGGAAUAUGACUAAAAAAAUGGUGAGAAGGAUGAAGUUGGACUUGCUAUUAAGAUGAUGAUCGAGCAACACUCUAAUGAUCACACCAAAUUCAGUCUUCUGUACCAACAUUGAUGGUAUCAGCAACUAAUUAAUUGGCAUCAAAUCAUCAUUCAAUAAUGACAAUUGGCCACAAAAGUUUAGUUAACAUCCUCAUAUAAUUGCUUUUCGUUUUUUUUUUCCUUUUUUUUUGUCGAUAAAAUAUUCUGAAACCCAUUUAAUAAUUGCUAUGAGAAUAGCAGACACCUCGUCUCCCACUUUUACUUCAAGUAACACAAGUGUUAUUUGUGAUUUUCGAAAAAAUGUUUUAAAAUAAAUUUUUAAUUAUCGAAGAUAUUAUUUUUGAGUCACGGACCAAGUAAUUUUUUUAAAGAUAUUUUGCAAUAUUUGAGUUGAGUCGCAUAUUAGAUCGCUCUCUUUAAGACGUUUCACAACACUGUUCAAAUUGUCCAAAAGACAAUUAACCACGAAGUCCCAUAAAAUAACGCAUAGAAAAUCAUUAUAGAAUUAUACACUCUUAAGCAUGACAGUUAAAGUCACUUGUAAUAUGAUAUUAUGAUCACUCGAAAGAAAUAAAUAAAAAAAAUGAAGCAGAAAGAGAGAGUAAUCUAUUUAUAAAGGGAUUUUGCAACCGAUGAAAAAAAAAAAAAAUGUGUUGUUCAAUUAACCAGAUCCACAUAAAUUGUUACGCAAAAACUUUAUGUGUUGACUGGAUUGGCAAAACUGAUGUCAAUACUAAAUAAUAAUACACAACUUAACCCAAGUCUUGUCUAGCCAAGCUGGUUGAACAACGACGUGCGCAUGUGGUGGUCGAUUUGCAUGCGUCAGUCGAACAACGAUGUGCACGUGUGGUGGUCGACUUGCAUGUGUUCUCACUCCUUCAUAAAAUUGAUUACUUCCUAAAACACACCUCAAUUGACAUACAUUCACCUUAUAAAUACUACUAAUAUCAUCCCUCUUAUAUGAAACUUUUUUAUUUUUACAAUUCAUACCAACUAACUCUAUAAUUUCAAUAUUAUUUCCAACAAUACAAGUGAGUACAUGUAGAAUCACAAAUUUCUUAAGCUUGCAUCUUUAUUAAGUAAUUAAGCUACUUUAAAAGAAUUGCGGAACAAAAUUAUUUCUAAAUAUGUCUAUGAGGAGAGUUAUGAAUUGUUGUCAGAGAAAUGUGAUAGCUAUAAACAUUUUAAAACUAAAUAUUUAAAACGUAUUAUGAAAAAAGUGUUAGCAAAUAUUAAAAUAUAGAAUAUGAAAUUAAAAAAUUGUUGAAAUCUUACGUCGUAAAACUUUAAUAUUUUACAUAAUCUUCUAAUUCUACAAAUAUUAAAAUUUUACAUUGGAUAAAAAAUAUAUAUAAGUUGCUUCCAUUACUAUAUAUAUAUAUAUAUNNNNNNNNNNNNNNNNNNNNNNNNNNNNNNNNNNNNNNNNNNNNNNNNNNNNNNNNNNNNNNNNNNNNNNNNNNNNNNNNNNNNNNNNNNNNNNNNNNNNNNNNAUCAUAUUAUAUCAGUUAUAUAUGAUUUUGUCUAGCAUCCUAAUAAGAUGGUUGACAGCAAAACAUGGUGAUAUAGGACAUGUGGUUAUGUGAUGGCAGACAAGCACAAAUGCUGCAUGCCGAGUGACAUGUGUUGUGAAUCUACCUUCACGGAUAUAUGCAUGGAGGUUGGAGGAGGCUUUCAUUUUAUUUUUUAAUUUAUAUAACGAAAUAUUUUUUCUACCAAAUUAGAAGAAAAAUAUAAUUAUUUUAACCAAAACAUCUUUAAUAAAAAAACAUAUUUUUUUAAGUAUUCUUAAUAUUGUUUAAACUUAAUAAAACUUAAUUGAUUUAUGUUGUUUUAUAUAAUUAUUUUUAGUAAUAAUUCAACAUAAUUUUAUUAUUAUAUAUUUAAUUAAAUAGUUUCUGUUUUAUUACACUCAAUGAUUUUUAAAAUUUAACUUUUUGGUUUUUUUAGUUUGACACUUUUUGCGAUUGUGAUCUCAAUUUAGAUUUUUUGUCCUAAAAAUAAUGAUACAAUAUGUUUUUAAAAGACAUAUGCUAACACGAAAAAAUAUAGAUAAAUUUUGAUUCAUCUAUAUAAUGAUCAAACAAUAAAAUAAUGCAUUUAAAAUAAUAACAAGAAUACUUAUUAGUUUCAUAACUUCAUCUUUUAUAAUUUAUUUUUAAUUUCUUAAAAUAUUUUUAUUUUUGCUCUUUAAAUAAUAUUAUUUUGAUAUUCAAAGAAUAAACAUAAACAUACUUGAAAUUUGCCACAUCAAUGUAUGUAUGACACUAUGUUUAUGUAAAAAUAUGUUAUAUUAUGUAAAAACAUAAAUACGUUUAUGUAAAAACAUAGUUUAAGGGUGAAUCCUCAUUAUUUAAAUUUAUAGUAGAAAUAAUUUUUUUAAUAAUAAAAAGUAGAAAAUAAAUAUAAUUUUUAUUUAAAUUUGUUAAAAAUAAUGAUGUUUACAACGAUAUAUUAGACAAUCCCUUGUAUAUGCUUUUAUAAUUAUUUUUAUUAUUUCGAAUAGCUUUAUAAUUUUUUGGCUUGCUCAAAAAAAUUAAUAAAAAUAAAAAAAUUUAAUUAAGUCUUAAGUUAAAUUUAUUUGUUAAUCCACCUCACAAUAUAAUUUCACUCACUCCUGGUACUCAGUACUUCCUCCAUUCCGUAACGAGUGUUCAAUUUGUAUAAAAUAAUUGAUCGAAAAUGAAUUAUUCCAAAUUAUAAUAGAACAUUAAUUACUUUUUUCAAUUAUACUCUCUAAUUAUUUCUACAUAUAUAACUUUCAAUUCAACAAUGAUAAUGGUGAAUAUGUCGAUACUUGAUAAAAAUAUUUUAAUAAAAGUAUUAUAUUCCCUUUUAUUUAAUAUUUUAUUAGUUUGUGUAAAAUCGUCAAUAACAUUAUAAAAGAUAAAUGUAAAAUCGUCAAUAACAUUAUAAAAAAUAAAUAGAAUAAUAGUCUAUAAGAUUUAGUUCAAUUGACAAAUGUUUGAUACAAUAAUAUCAUAUUAUGAUUUCAAAAUCAAAACCUAACAAUUAUGAGGGUAUGUUAAAGUAGUUUUUACGAAUAUGUCUUAUACUAAAAAAGUAUUAUACUCUCUUUUAUUUAACAUUUUAUUAAUUUGUGUGAAAUUGUCAAUUGAGUAAUACAAUGUGAAAGAUGAAUACAGUAAUCAAUUUUAUUAAUUUGUGUACAAUUGUCAAUUGAGUAAUACAAUAUGAAAGACAAAUACAGUAAUUAAUUUAUAAAUUUUAGUUCAAUUAGCAAAUGUCUGACAUCGUUCAAAACCAAAACCUAGCAAUUAUGAGAGUAAGUUUAAAUAGUUUUUACGAAUUUGUCUUAUACUAAAAAAAAAAGGUAGAAGUAUUAAUAUCUAUUAAUCCAAACAAAAUUUGUAUUUUCUAAUCUUAAUAAAAUGAAAUUCCAAUUUCAGAUCUUGAUAUCUAAGUAGCCUCAUGAUAACUUCAACUUAAAUAGUUUGAGAAAUAAAAACAAAAUAUAUAACUAGAGAGAUAGUAAUUAAAAAAAACAUUGACCGUACAGUUUGUUUUUGACAAAAACAAACUGCAUGGCCAAAAUACUUAUUUUUUAUUUAUUCAUUCAUUUUCCAUACACACACAAAAAAAACAAAGCCUAAGGGACUUUGUCUCAUUACAUUGUACAUGACAUGCUUGUGUGUGAUUCUUAAAGAACUAAUCUUGAUCUUUGGAUUUGCUACAUGAGUCAUAACAGAAGCCAGUGUUAUCCAUGCAACGACAAAUAGGAGGAUAAGAAAGUGCACAAAUGCAUUGUUUGCAAGCAGAGUGACAAGUUUCUCCCAUAUCAUUACAACGACACUGAGGAGGUAUUGAUUUUGUGCAAACACAGCUGUCACAACAUGCUGUCGUUGUGGAUUUCACUUUGUAACCAACACCAUCACCAUUAUAAUGGAGAUUCAUCAAGGGUCUUCGUUUUGUAUCAAAACGACCUUCAAUUG